UGGGGAAUCUUCCGCAAUGGACGAAAGUCUGACGGAGCAACGCCGCGUGAGUGAUGACGGCCUUCGGGUUGUAAAGCUCUGUUAAUCGGGACGAAUGGUUCUUGUGCGAAUAGUGCGAGGAUUUGACGGUACCGGAAUAGAAAGCCACGGCUAACUACGUGCCAGCAGCCGCGGUAAUACGUAGGUGGCAAGCGUUGUCCGGAAUUAUUGGGCGUAAAGCGCGCGCAGGCGGAUUGGUCAGUCUGUCUUAAAAGUUCGGGGCUUAACCCCGUGAUGGGAUGGAAACUGCCAAUCUCGAGUAUCGGAGAGGAAAGUGGAAUUCCUAGUGUAGCGGUGAAAUGCGUAGAUAUUAGGAAGAACACCAGUGGCGAAGGCGACUUUCUGGACGAAAACUGACGCUGAGGCGCGAAAGCCAGGGGAGCGAACGGG
rnacentral:rRNA from 1 species